AUUGAACGCUGGCGGCAGGCCUAACACAUGCAAGUCGAACGAGUGGCGGACGGGUGAGUAAUGUCUGUGAACCUGCCUGCUGGUGGGGGAUAACUACUGGAAACGGUAGCUAAUCCCGCAUACCAUCGGAUGUGCCCAGAUGGGAUUAGCUAGUAGGUGGGGUAACGGCUCUCCUAGGCGACGAUCCCUAGCUGGUCUGAGAGGAUGACGAGCCACACGGGAACUGAGACACGGUCCAGACUCCUACGGGAGACGGCAGUGGGGAAUAGUGCACAAUGGGCGCAAGCCUGAUGCAGGCAUGCCGGGUGUAGGAAGAGGGCCUUCGGGUUGUAGAGUACUUUCAGCGGGGAGGCGUUACCCGCAGAAGAAGCACCGGCUAACUCCGUGCCAGCAGCCGCGGUAAUAC
rnacentral:rRNA from 1 species